rnacentral:rRNA from 1 species
AAUAUUGCACAAUGGGCGCAAGCCUGAUGCAGCCAUGCCGCGUGUAUGAAGAAGGCCUUCGGGUUGUAAAGUACUUUCAGCAGUGAGGAAGGUGGGUAUGUUAAUAGCAUAUCAUUUGACGUUAGCUGCAGAAGAAGCACCGGCUAACUCCGUGCCAGCAGCCGCGGUAAUACGGAGGGUGCGAGCGUUAAUCGGAAUUACUGGGCGUAAAGCGCAUGCAGGUGGUUUGUUAAGUCAGAUGUGAAAGCCCGGGGCUCAACCUCGGAAUUGCAUUUGAAACUGGCAAACUAGAGUACUGUAGAGGGGGUAGAAUUUCAGGUGUAGCGGUGAAAUGCGUAGAGAUCUGAAGGAAUACCGGUGGCGAAGGCGGCCCCCUGGACAGAUACUGACACUCAGAUGCGAAAGCGUGGGGAGCAAACAGGAUUAGAUACCCUGGUAG